rnacentral:rRNA from 1 species
GAUGAACGCUAGCGACAGGCUUAACACAUGCAAGUCGAGGGGCAGCGGGGAUGUAGCUUGCUAUAUCUGCCGGCGACCGGCGCACGGGUGAGUAACACGUAUGCAACCUGCCCAUUGCAGGGGGAUAAGCAGAAGAAAUUCUGUCUAAUACCGCGUAAUAUGAGAUUGAGGCAUCUCGGUUUCAUUAAAGAUUUAUCGGCAAUGGAUGGGCAUGCGGCGCAUUAGCUAGUUGGCGGGUAACGGCCCACCAAGGCGACGAUGCGUAGGGGUUCUGAGAGGAAGGUCCCCCCANACUGGUACUGAGACACGGACCAGACUCCUACGGGAGGCAGCAGUGAGGAAUAUUGGUCAAUGGGCGAGAGCCUGAACCAGCCAAGUCGCGUGAGGGAAGACGGGUCCCUAAUGGGGUUGUAAAACUUCUUUUGUUCGGGAAUAAAGUGCAGUACGCGUACUGUUUUGUAUAUACCGUUCGAAUAAGCAUCGGCUAAUU